rnacentral:rRNA from 1 species
UACAGAGGGCGCGAGCGUUGUCCGGAAUCACUGGGCGUAAAGGGCGCGUAGGUGGCGGCGUAAGGCCGCGGUGAAAGUUCGGGGCUCAACCCUGAAUCGGCCGCGGCGACUGCGUCGCUUGGGCACGGUAGAGGCAGAUGGAAUUCCGGGUGUAGCGGUGAAAUGCGUAGAGAUCUGGAGGAAUACCGGUGGCGAAGGCGGCCCCCUGGACAAAGACUGACGCUCAGGUGCGAAAGCGUGGGGAGCAAACAGG